AUGUUAGAGCCUGAAGUCAAGGAAAAGGCUAAACCAGCCCCUGAGAAGAAAGAGGCUGAAGUCAUCAAGGAGAAAGUUAAACCAGCUCCUGUAAAGAAAGAGCCUGAAGUUCCUAAAGAAAAGGCUCCUGAACCAAAACCCAAAAAAGAAGCAGAAGUUAUCAAAGAGAAAGUAAAACCAGCCCCUGAGAAGAAAGAGGCUGAAGUCAUCAAGGAAAAAGUUAAACCAGCUCCUGUAAAGAAAGAAGUCAUCAAGGAGAAACCUAAACCAGUGCCUGAAAAGAAACAGGCUGAUGUCAUCAAGGAUAAAGUUAAACCAGCUCCUGUUAAGAAAGAAGUCAUCAAGGAGAAACCUAAACCAGCGCCUGAAAAGAAAGAGGCUGAUGUCAUCCAGGAGGAAGUUAAACCAGCUCCUGUUAAGAAAGAAGUCAUCAAGGAGAAACCUAAACCAGCACCUGAAAAGAAAGGUAAGAGUUACCGAUAUUAUGGAUUGAUAUGUGCUCAAAUUAAAGACUAAUCUCAAAUUUA
rnacentral:lncRNA from 1 species